UACGGAGGGUGCAAGCGUUAUCCGGAUUCACUGGGUUUAAAGGGUGCGUAGGCGGGCAGGUAAGUCAGUGGUGAAAUCUCCGGGCUUAACCCGGAAACUGCCGUUGAUACUAUCUGUCUUGAAUAUCGCGGAGGUAAGCGGAAUAUGUCAUGUAGCGGUGAAAUGCUUAGAUAUGACAUAGAACACCUAUUGCGAAGGCAGCUUACUACACGAUCAUUGACGCUGAGGCACGAAAGCGUGGGGAGCAAACAGG
rnacentral:rRNA from 1 species